GGUGUUCAUGGACUCGGGUGAGUACUUUCAUGUAAUUGGAUUUAGCCAGAGGAGUUUUUUAGCUGGAGUUUAUUAGGAUUUGUGUGUAAACUCUAGGGUAUAUAAAUCAUGUAUUGUAACGUAUUAUUAUGAUGGAACCAAUAUAUAACUUUUCUCCCUAAAAUCCUUCAUCUCUUUCUCUGGUUUGCAUGACGCCCUAGGUAGAGGUCAAGCAAAAUCCUAAUAUCAUCUUCUUUGGUGUAGGUUGCUGGUGUUCUCAAGUAUCUACAUCCUGAAAAUCUACACAAUAAUUUGGUAUAAGAGCCAGAUGAAGCGUGGAGAAGGAAGAAGAUGCUAGGAUUGAAGUUCUCUGUUAAAGGUAUCUUUCUCAAUCAGAUCUGUGUUGUUUGUAAUUGUGGUUUGAGAUAUCAUGAGCAGUGGGUUGAAGAUCGAUUUUGAGAAGUUUGACAGAAAGGAGAACCUCUCAAUGUGGAGGAUAAGGGUUGAGGAUUUGUUAGUUCAGCAAGAGCUGGAUCUAGCUUUGGAUGAAAAGUCAAAGGGGAUGAC
rnacentral:lncRNA from 1 species